rnacentral:rRNA from 1 species
CCUACGGGAGGCAGCAGUGAGGAAUAUUGGUCCAUGGGCGCGAGCCUGAACCAGCCAAGUCGCGUGAGGGAUGAAGGUUCUAUGGAUCGUAAACCUCUUUUAUAAGGGAAUAAAGUGUGGGACGUGGCCUAUUUUGUCUGUACCUUAUGAAUAAGGAUCGGCUAACUCCGUGCCAGCACCCGCGGUAAUACGGAGUAUCCGAGCGUUAUCCGGAUUUCUUGGGUUUCAAGGGUGCGUAGGCGGCCUUUUAAGUCAGCGGUGAAAGUCUGUGGCGAAACCAUAGAAUUGCCGUUGAAACUGGGGGGCGUGAGUAUGUUUGAGGCAGGCGGAAUGCGUGGUGUAGCGGUGAAAUGCUUAGAUAUCACGCAGAACCCCGAUUGCGAAGGCAGCCUGCCAAGCCAUGACUGACGCUGAUGCACGAAAGCGUGGGGAUCAAACAGGAUUAGAUACCCUAGUAGUC